rfam:Coccidioides immitis H538.4 supercont1.249 genomic scaffold, whole genome shotgun sequence.
CAAUUUGUACGGUGAACUGCGAAUGGCUCAUUAAAUCCGUUAUCGUUUAUUUGAUAGUACCUUACUACAUGGAUACCCGUGGUAAUUCUAGAGCUAAUACAUGCUAAAAACCUCGACUUCGGAAGGGGUGUAUUUAUUAGAUAAAAAACCAAUGCCCUUCGGGGCUCUUUGGUGAUUCAUAAUAACUUGUCGAAUCGCAUGGCCUUGCGCUGGCGAUGGUUCAUUCAAAUUUCUGCCCUAUCAACUUUCGAUGGUAGGAUAGUGGCCUACCAUGGUGGCAACGGGUAACGGGGAAUUAGGGUUCGAUUCCGGAGAGGGAGCCUGAGAAACGGCCUACCACAUACAAGGAAGGCAGCAGGCGCGCAAAUUACCCAAUCCCAACACGGGGAGGUAGUGACAAUAAAUACUGAUACAGGGCUCUUUCGGGUCUUGUAAUUGGAAUGAGUACAAUUUAAAUCCCUUAACGAGGAACAAUUGGAGGGCAAGUCUGGUGCCAGCAGCCGCGGUAAUUCCAGCUCCAAUAGCGUAUAUUAAAGUUGUUGCAGUUAAAAAGCUCGUAGUUGAACCUUGGGUCUGGCUGGCCGGUCCGCUUCGCGGCGUGCACUGGUCCGGCUGGACCUUUCCUUCUGGGGAACCCUAUGGCCUUCACUGGCUGUAGGGGGAACCAGGACUUUUACUGUGAAAAAAUUAGAGUGUUCAAAGCAGGCCUUUGCUCGGAUACAUUAGCAUGGAAUAAUAGAAUAGGACGUGUGGUUCUAUUUUGUUGGUUUCUAGGACCGCCGUAAUGAUUAAUAGGGAUAGUCGGGGGCGUCAGUAUUCGGCUGUCAGAGGUGAAAUUCUUGGAUUUGCUGAAGACUAACUACUGCGAAAGCAUUCGCCAAGGAUGUUUUCAUUAAUCAGUGAACGAAAGUUAGGGGAUCGAAGACGAUCAGAUACCGUCGUAGUCUUAACCAUAAACUAUGCCGACUAGGGAUCGGAGGAGAACUUUUGAAUAACCCGUUUCGCCGCCUUACGAAGGAGUCGAGGUUUUUCGGGUUCUGGGGGGAGAGGGGCUGCAAAGCCUGAACUUAGAGGAAUUGACGGGAGGGCACCACCAGGGGGGGGAGCGUGCGGCCUUAUUUGGAUUCACCCGGGGAAAACUCCCACGCCCGAAUAAAUAAGAGAUUGGAAAAUGGAGACGCCUUUCCUGUCCUUUUGGAUCUUGG